CCAUUAAAGCGGUACGCGAGCUGGGUUCAGAACGUCGUGAGACAGUUCGGUCCCUAUCCGUCGUGGGCGUAGGAAAUUUGAGAGGAGCUGUCCUUAGUACGAGAGGACCGGGAUGGACAUACCUCUGGUGUACCAGUUGUCGUGCCAACGGCAUAGCUGGGUAGCUAUGUGUGGACGGGAUAAGUGCUGAAAGCAUCUAAGCAUGAAGCCCCCCUCAAGAUGAGAUUUCCCAACUUCGGUUAUAAGAUCCCUCAAAGAUGAUGAGAUUAAUAGGUUCGAGGUGGAAGCAUGGUGACAUGUGGAGCUGACGAAUACUAAUCGAUCGAAGACUUAAUCAAAA
rnacentral:rRNA from 2 species